AUUGAACGCUGGCGGCAUGCUUUACACAUGCAAGUCGAACGGUAACAGGUUAAGCUGACGAGUGGCGAACGGGUGAGUAAUGCAUCGGAACGUGCCCGAUCGUGGAGGAUAACGCAGCGAAGGCUGCGCUAAUACCGCAUACGAUCUGAGGAUGAAAGCGGGGGACCGUAAGGCCUCGCGCGAUCGGAGCGGCCGAUGUCAGAUUAGGUAGUUGGUGGGGUAAAGGCUCACCAAGCCGACGAUCUGUAGCUGGUCUGAGAGGACGACCAGCCACACUGGGACUGAGACACGGCCCAGACUCCUACGGGAGUCAGCAGUGGGGAAUUUUGGACAAUGGGCGAAAGCCUGAUCCAGCAAUGCCGCGUGCAGGAAGAAGGCCUUCGGGUUGUAAACUGCUUUUGUACGGAGCGAAAAGGCUCUCUCUAAUACAGGGGGCUCAUGACGGUACCGUAAGAAUAAGCACCGGCUAACUACGUGCCAGCCGCCGCCGUAA
rnacentral:rRNA from 1 species